CAGUCGCCGCGGUAAUACGAGGGGUGCAAGCGUUGUCCGGAAUUAUUGGGCGUAAAGGGCUCGCAGGCGGUUUCUUAAGUCUGAUGUGAAAGCCCCCGGCUCAACCGGGGAGGGUCAUUGGAAACUGGGAAACUUGAGUGCAGAAGAGGAGAGUGGAAUUCCACGUGUAGCGGUGAAAUGCGUAGAGAUGUGGAGGAACACCAGUGGCGAAGGCGACUCUCUGGUCUGUAACUGACGCUGAGGAGCGAAAGCGUGGGGAGCGAACAGGAUUAGAUACCCCAGUAGUCCCUGUCUCUUAUAC
rnacentral:rRNA from 1 species